GGGUUGUGAGGUUAAGCGAACAAGCGUACACGGUGGAUGCCCUGGCAGUCAGAGGCGAUGAAGGACGUGCUAAUCUGCGAAAAGCGCCGGUAAGGUGAUAUGAACCGUUAUAACCGGCGAUGUCCGAAUGGGGAAACCCGGUGCACUUCGGUGCAUCAUCGUUAGCUGAAUACAUAGGCUAACGAGGCGAACCGGGGGAACUGAAACAUCUAAGUACCCCGAGGAAAAGAAAUCAACCGAGAUUCCCCCAGUAGCGGCGAGCGAACGGGGAACAGCCCAGAGCCUGAAUCAGUUUGUGUGUCAGUGGAACGGUCUGGAAAGGCCGGCGAUACAGGGUGACAGCCCCGUACACGAAGGCACACAGGCUGUGAGCUCGAUGAGUAGGGCGGGACACGUGAUAUCCUGUCUGAAGAUGGGGGGACCAUCCUCCAAGGCUAAAUACUCCUGACUGACCGAUAGUGAACCAGUACCGUGAGGGAAAGGCGAAAAGAACCCCGGCGAGGGGAGUGAAACAGAACCUGAAACCGUGUACGUACAAGCAGUGGGAGCCUUCGUAAGAGGGUGACUGCGUACCUUUUGUAUAAUGGGUCAGCGACUUAUAUUCUGUAGCAAGGUUAACCGUAUAGGGGAGCCGAAGGGAAACCGAGUCUUAACCGGGCGUUAAGUUGCAGGGUAUAGACCCGAAACCCGGUGAUCUAGCCAUGGGCAGGUUGAAGGUUGGGUAACACUAACUGGAGGACCGAACCGACUAAUGUUGAAAAAUUAGCGGAUGACCUGUGGCUGGGGGUGAAAGGCCAAUCAAACCGGGAGAUAGCUGGUUCUCCCCGAAAGCUAUUUAGGUAGCGCCUCGUGAAUUCAUCUCCGGGGGUAGAGCACUGUUUCGGCUAGGGGGCCAUCCCGGCUUACCAACCCGAUGCAAACUGCGAAUACCGGAGAAUGUUAUCACGGGAGACACACGGCGGGUGCUAACGUCCGUCGUGAAGAGGGAAACAACCCAGACCGCCAGCUAAGGUCCCAAAGUCAUGGUUAAGUGGGAAACGAUGUGGGAAGGCCCAGACAGCCAGGAUGUUGGCUUAGAAGCAGCCAUCAUUUAAAGAAAGCGUAAUAGCUCACUGGUCGAGUCGGCCUGCGCGGAAGAUGUAACGGGGCUAAACCAUGCACCGAAGCUGCGGCAGCGACACUAUGUGUUGUUGGGUAGGGGAGCGUUCUGUAAGCCUGUGAAGGUGUGCUGUGAGGCAUGCUGGAGGUAUCAGAAGUGCGAAUGCUGACAUAAGUAACGAUAAAGCGGGUGAAAAGCCCGCUCGCCGGAAGACCAAGGGUUCCUGUCCAACGUUAAUCGGGGCAGGGUGAGUCGACCCCUAAGGCGAGGCCGAAAGGCGUAGUCGAUGGGAAACAGGUUAAUAUUCCUGUACUUGGUGUUACUGCGAAGGGGGGACGGAGAAGGCUAUGUCGGCCGGGCGACGGUUGUCCCGGUUUAAGCGUGUAGGCUGACUUUCCAGGCAAAUCCGGAGAGUUAAGGCUGAGGCGUGAUGACGAGGCACCACGGUGCUGAAGUGACAAAUGCCCUGCUUCCAGGAAAAGCCUCUAAGCAUCAGGUAACAUCAAAUCGUACCCCAAACCGACACAGGUGGUCAGGUAGAGAAUACCAAGGCGCUUGAGAGAACUCGGGUGAAGGAACUAGGCAAAAUGGUGCCGUAACUUCGGGAGAAGGCACGCUGACAUGUAGGUGAAGCCCCUGCGGGUGGAGCUGAAGUCAGUCGAAGAUACCAGCUGGCUGCAACUGUUUAUUAAAAACACAGCACUGUGCAAACACGAAAGUGGACGUAUACGGUGUGACGCCUGCCCGGUGCCGGAAGGUUAAUUGAUGGGGUUAUCGCAAGAGAAGCUCCUGAUCGAAGCCCCGGUAAACGGCGGCCGUAACUAUAACGGUCCUAAGGUAGCGAAAUUCCUUGUCGGGUAAGUUCCGACCUGCACGAAUGGCGUAAUGAUGGCCAGGCUGUCUCCACCCGAGACUCAGUGAAAUUGAACUCGCUGUGAAGAUGCAGUGUACCCGCGGCAAGACGGAAAGACCCCGUGAACCUUUACUACAGCUUGACACUGAACAUUGAGCCUUGAUGUGUAGGAUAGGUGGGAGGCUUUGAAGCGUGGACGCCAGUCUGCGUGGAGCCAACCUUGAAAUACCACCCUUUAAUGUUUGAUGUUCUAACCUGGCGCCAUAAUCUGGCGUGGGGACAGUGUCUGGUGGGUAGUUUGACUGGGGCGGUCUCCUCCCAAAGUGUAACGGAGGAGCACGAAGGUCAGCUAAUCCUGGUCGGACAUCAGGAGGUUAGUGCAAUGGCAUAAGCUGGCUUGACUGCGAGAGUGACGGCUCGAGCAGGUGCGAAAGCAGGUCAUAGUGAUCCGGUGGUUCUGUAUGGAAGGGCCAUCGCUCAACGGAUAAAAGGUACUCCGGGGAUAACAGGCUGAUACCGCCCAAGAGUUCAUAUCGACGGCGGUGUUUGGCACCUCGAUGUCGGCUCAUCACAUCCUGGGGCUGAAGUAGGUCCCAAGGGUAUGGCUGUUCGCCAUUUAAAGUGGUACGCGAGCUGGGUUUAGAACGUCGUGAGACAGUUCGGUCCCUAUCUGCCGUGGGCGCUGGAGAAUUGAGGGGGGCUGCUCCCAGUACGAGAGGACCGGAGUGGACGCAUCACUGGUGUUCGGGUUGUCAUGCCAAUGGCACUGCCCGGUAGCUAAAUGCGGAAGAGAUAAGUGCUGAAAGCAUCUAAGCACGAAACUUGCCCCGAGAUGAGUUCUCCCUGAGACUGUAAGUCUCCUGAAGGAACGUUGAAGACGACGACGUUGAUAGGCCGGGUGUGUAAGCGCAGCGAUGCGUUGAGCUAACCGGUACUAAUGAACCGUGAGGCUUAACCUUACAACGCCAAAGAAGU
rnacentral:rRNA from 1 species